UGAGGCGUGGUGUAAUGGCAACACGCUUGACUCUGACUCAAGCUUUCCUGGUUCGAGUCCAGGCGCCUCAGCCA
rnacentral:tRNA from 1 species